AGGACGAACGCUGGCGGCGUGCUUAACACAUGCAAGUCGAGCGGAAAGGCCCUUCGGGGUACUCGAGCGGCGAACGGGUGAGUAACACGUGAGCAAUCUGCCCUUAGCUUCGGGAUAGCUCCGGGAAACCGGAAUUAAUACCGAAUAUGACUUCGGCCGACAUCGGCCUUGGUGGAAAGUUUUUCGGCUAGGGAUGAACUCGCGGCCUAUCAGCUUGUUGGUGGGGUAAUGGCCUACCAAGGCGACGACGGGUAGCCGGCCUGAGAGGGCGCGACGGACGACACUGGAACUGAAACACGGUCCAGACUCCUACGGGAGGCAGCAGUGGGGAAUUUGCGCAAUGGGGGAAACCCUGACGCAGCAACGCCGCGUGGAGGAUGAAGCCCCUUGGGGUGUAAACUCCUUUCGAUCGGGAAGAUAAUGACGGUACCGAUAUAAGAAGCCCCGGCUAACUUCGUGCCAGCAGCCGC
rnacentral:rRNA from 1 species